UGGGGAAUUUUGGACAAUGGGGGAAACCCUGAUCCAGCCAUCCCGCGUGUGCGAUGAAGGCCUUCGGGUUGUAAAGCACUUUUGGCAGGAAAGAAACGUCGCGGGUUAAUACCCCGCGAAACUGACGGUACCUGCAGAAUAAGCACCGGCUAACUACGUGCCAGCAGCCGCGGUAAUACGUAGGGUGCAAGCGUUAAUCGGAAUUACUGGGCGUAAAGCGUGCGCAGGCGGUUCGGAAAGAAAGAUGUGAAAUCCCAGAGCUUAACUUUGGAACUGCAUUUUUAACUACCGGGCUAGAGUGUGUCAGAGGGAGGUGGAAUUCCGCGUGUAGCAGUGAAAUGCGUAGAUAUGCGGAGGAACACCGAUGGCGAAGGCAGCCUCCUGGGAUAACACUGACGCUCAUGCACGAAAGCGUGGGGAGCAAACAGGAUUAGAUACCCUGGUAGUCCACGCCCUAAACGAUGUCAACUAGCUGUUGGGGCCUUCGGGCCUUGGUAGCGCAGCUAACGCGUGAAGUUGACCGCCUGGGGAGUACGGUCGCAAGAUUAAAACUUAAAGGAAUUGAACGGGGGUCAUAGCUGUUU
rnacentral:rRNA from 1 species